UUAUUUUGUUGCAUGCCAAAUUUUUGUAAUUUUUCACCAUCCGGUUGUUAUAACGAUUUUUAAUAGUAUUUGUAUUUGAAAUCAAUUUGCUGCAGUUGCUACUGGUAUCCGUCGGUCAUUCUCCCCUAAAACCCGUACAGGUAUUACUACUAGCUCUAUUAUACACCUCCAGUCUUCUAUAAUACCGAAAAAAACCUGUUGCUUAUGGCAUUACUAAGUAUUGGAUCAAUUCAUAGAAUUAAAAUGAUACAUUCGCUUUCUCACAAUAAUAAUAUUCAUAACAAUUUCAAUGACAGUGGCCGUGGGACAGUGAAAUAAUAUUGGGAAUCGUGAUCGGGUUUUCGCCCUACCCGGUCAGGUUAUAAUUGUGUUGAUCCACAAGUUUGUUGUUGCUGAAGACAAAACCUGUUCGACUGGCCGCGACCGAUAUCUUCCCCAAUAUCGUGUGAUUUCUCACGACCAUUCUAAAAGGUCUCGAUUACCUUUAUAACAUUUUGGUCAGUGGUAAAGUAGGUACUAAACUGAGCGAUUCUUAAACUGUUUUUCGAAAGCCAAUAGAAAAUUAAAAAAACCAUGAAUAUGGUUAUAUGGUCAUAGUCAUUGCCAAACUUGGUAUUAUUUUUAGUUAUGUGAUAAAACCUCAACAUAAUAAGAACGAUUUCAGUUAUAUUUGGGACACGCAUAAUUGUUUUUAAAUGUGAGAAUUUGAGUUUAUAAUGACUUUAUGAAGAAUAAAAAUAGCUAAUGAUAUUUGACUGAUCACACUGCUGGCGAAAACUACAAAGUAUUAAGACUUUCAAAAAAUCAAUGAAAAUUUCAAUCUUAUAUAAUUGAAUUUCAUUUUAAUUGACAUUAAAAUAUUAUUAUGAUGAACAUUAAAAAAAAAAUACAAGGACUAAACGUACGUUGUUCAAAAUUUUAUAGCUCAACACAAAUAACUGAAGAAUUCCGUACUUAGAAAUAAACAUAUAUAAUUUCUAGGCUUAAAACAAAAAAAUACUAUAUAGUAAUGAUUAAAUGGACUUAUUCAAUUAAAAAUUAAGCGCAUUAUUUCGUUUAGGUCGAGUUAAGGAAAUUGGUAUAAAAGAAAAAUAAGGGUUUUAUAAAAUUAAGUCCAUCAGGAAUAAUUAAGAAUUAAAUUAUAAAAUUUCAAAAUAAUAUCAGUCUGCUUCAAAA